UACGUAGGGACCAAGCGUUGUUCGGAUUUACUGGGCGUAAAGGGCGCGCAGGCGGUCCUGUUUGUCGAGUGUGAAAUGCCAAGGCUCAACCUUGGAACUGCCUUUGAUACUGGAGAUCUUGAGUCCGGGAGAGGUGAGUGGAAUUGCGAGUGUAGAGGUGAAAUUCGUAGAUAUUCGCAAGAACACCAGUGGCGAAGGCGGCUCACUGGCCCGAUACUGACGCUCGACGGCACGAAAGCGUGGGGAGCAAACAGG
rnacentral:rRNA from 1 species